GCUAAAAAACAGAGGAAAUAGGGGCGGCGACGGAGCUGGAAAGAAAAGGGGGUGUUUCAUCAGAGGAAAAAAAGCACAAGAAAAAAUAGGGAAGGUUUCGGACAGGCAGAAAGAGAGCAGAGGGUCAGGGCAACAAAGGAAAAACAGGGAAAGAAAAGGAGGGCUCUCGGCAGGACAAAAACAGAGAAAGGCCGAGAGGGGUUUCGGCUCAAAGACAGAAAAAAGGAAGGGAGGUCUGAGAGCAGGGGAAGGAAGAAAAAUAUUAAAGUUUCAUUUGAGGGGCUGGUGACUGAGAAAGAGAAACCAGAAACAGAGGAAGGUCUUGGCCUAAGGGGGGGGGACGUCGGCGGAGAAAGGAAAGGGCAGAGGGAAACUAAGAUAAAGGGGAGGAAUUGAAGAGGGUUUCGUCUGAGAACCAAAAGAAAAAACAGAGCAAGAGAAAGGAAACUAAAACAGAGGGCUUAGACUCAAAAAGUGAGGAAACAAAGACCAGGAGGCCUAGCAAAGAACCGGAAUCACCGCCGCAAUCCAAGCUCCGCCACGGCACCUCCACCUCGUGCGCCACCUUUCUUCACCAGCACGACCAACAAGCGGUCAACCGCCUGCCCAAGCCACCUCCAGGCCGCACUCGUCACUGUUGCUGUCUGCCAUCGUCUCCACCGCACACAACCUCCCUGGCCGCUGCCGCUCUCUGCAAAUCUAGAUGAAAACUCUUAGACGAAGGCAGACGUCGUCAUCUCCCAAUUCCAAUUCACCGUCUUCGUCUUCGUCAUAACCGCCACCACCCCAACUUGCUAUUACUGCCUGCGAAGCUUCACCAAGCACAUUGGUAAAUCAAAGAGUAAUUCCAUUUCCUUAGGGCUCCAAAUCAAAGGAGUUCAAGACAAUGAAAAAACCAAGUUGGAGAGAGUAUUAUAUAAAGCAGCCACGGUUAACAAAACUGUUAUAGCAUCACAGCAGUAGGUGCAGCAUGGACAACUCCAGGUUCUUUAAUGGAUCUCUUUUUGAGGGAUUCAGAAUUGAAGACCAGACAAUAUUUCUUCUCAAUCAUUUGGUAAUUGUGGCCAUGGAUCAAAAAGCAUACUCUCGCUGCUUGGAGGUACACCCACUUUAUGAGCGGCCAAUCGUGAAGAUGAUGUGGAGAAGACUUGAUUUUAUACGUAACGUUCUUGAGCUAGGGUACAGCUUCAUUUUCAAGGAUUCUGAUAUACUUUGGUUGCGAGUUACGUUACAAAAUCCAUGACCUUCAAAGGGUGUUGAUGACUGGAGAGACCACAAGGCAUCGCCAAGAAACACAACAAUCCCAUACCCUUGGGCUUUUAGGAGAAAAUAUUGUGCAUAAUAUCAAUUUUUAUGUGCUAAAUUUCUGUUUGUAAUUUGGAAAAAACAAAUAGUGGAGAUUUCUUUAUGAAAAUUUUUUUCAUAA